AUUGAACGCUGGCGGCAGGCCUAACACAUGCAAGUCGAACGAGAAACUAGAGCUUGCUCUGGCGGAAAGUGGCAGACGGGUGAGUAACGCGUGGGAAUUUACCCAGUGGUACGGAAUAACUCAGGGAAACUUGUGCUAAUACCGUAUACGCCCUUCGGGGGAAAGAUUUAUCGCCAUUGGAUGAGCCCGCGUUAGAUUAGUUUGUUGGUGGGGUAAUGGCCUACCAAGACUACGAUCUAUAGCUGGUCUGAGAGGAUGAUCAGCCACACUGGGACUGAGACACGGCCCAGACUCCUACGGGAGGCAGCAGUGGGGAAUAUUGCACAAUGGGCGCAAGCCUGAUGCAGCCAUGCCGCGUGAGUGAAGAAGGCCUUAGGGUUGUAAAACUCUUUCACCGGUGAAGAUAAUGACGGUAGCCGGAGAAGAAGCCCCGGCUAACUCCGUG
rnacentral:rRNA from 1 species